GUUGGCAUCAACAAGCGGCUGCGCCAAGUCAUUAGAUUUCGUACUUGUGAAGUUGUCGAAAUCUUCUUCCAGUUUCUGCUUCGAUUUCUCAUCCGUUGUGUCAAUAGAGACGUCUAUAGCGCCCCAAUCAGCUCCGUAGAGGACGGAUGUAGGGCGGACGUGAAGAAGAAUGACGGCGUCACCUGGACGGAGGUAAUUCUCUACUGCCCAUUUCACGGCGUAAGCGCUUUCGUCACUGAGAUCGACGGCGAUUGCGAUCUUCCGAUUAGCACCGGAUGUAGGUGUUCCCGGCGGGAAGCGAGGGGAAGCCGGUUGGUGCAUGAUGGCUGUCGGUGGUCGGUCGGAUUCUGUUGGUGGCUUCUUCGGUGAUGCCAUGACCGGAAAGUGUACGAAAAAAUGUGUGAAAGAAAAUGUGAAAUUCGAGGUUACAAUUUUCCGGUCAUGGCA
rnacentral:misc_RNA from 1 species